rnacentral:rRNA from 1 species
GACGUAGGUGGCGAACGUUAUCCGGAAUUAUUGGGCGUAAAGAGCUCGUAGGCGGUUUGUCGCGUCUGCUGUGAAAACUCGGGGCUUAACUCCGGGCCUGCAGUGGGUACGGGCAGACUAGAGUGCGGUAGGGGAGACUGGAAUUCCUGGUGUAGCGGUGAAAUGCGCAGAUAUCAGGAGGAACACCGGUGGCGAAGGCGGGUCUCUGGGCCGUAACUGACGCUGAGGAGCGAAAGCGUGGGGAGCGAACAGG